rnacentral:rRNA from 1 species
GAUGUGCCCAGAUGGGAUUAGCUAGUAGGUGGGGUAACGGCUCACCUAGGCGACGAUCCCUAGCUGGUCUGAGAGGAUGACCAGCCACACUGGAACUGAGACACGGUCCAGACUCCUACGGGAGGCAGCAGUGGGGAAUAUUGCACAAUGGGCGCAAGCCUGAUGCAGCCAUGCCGCGUGUGUGAAGAAGGCCUUCGGGUUGUAAAGCACUUUCAGCGGGGAGGAAGGCGUUAAGGUUAAUAACCUUGGCGAUUGACGUUACCCGCAGAAGAAGCACCGGCUAACUCCGUGCCAGCAGCCGCGGUAAUACGGAGGGUGCAAGCGUUAAUCGGAAUUACUGGGCGUAAAGCGCACGCAGGCGGUCUGUCAAGUCGGAUGUGAAAUCCCCGGGCUCAACCUGGGAACUGCAUUCGAAACUGGCAGGCUAGAGUCUUGUAGAGGGGGGUAGAAUUCCAGGUGUAGCGGUGAAAUGCGUAGAGAUCUGGAGGAAUACCGGUGGCGAAGGCGGCCCCCUGGACAAAGACUGACGCUCAGGUGCGAAAGCGUGGGGAGCAAACAGGAUUAGAUACCCUGGUAGUCCACGCCGUAAACGAUGUCGAUUUGGAGGUUGUGCCCUUGAGGCGUGGCUUCCGGAGCUAACGCGUUAAAUCGACCGCCUGGGGAGUACGGCCGCAAGGUUAAAACUCAAAUGAAUUGACGGGGGCCCGCACAAGCGGUGGAGCAUGUGGUUUAAUUCGAUGCAACGCGAAGAACCUUACCUGGUCUUGACAUCCACAGAACUUUCCAGAGAUGGAUUGGUGCCUUCGGGAACUGUGAGACAGGUGCUGCAUGGCUGUCGUCAGCUCGUGUUGUGAAAUGUUGGGUUAAGUCCCGCAACGAGCGCAACCCUUAUCCUUUGUUGCCAGCGGUCCGGCCGGGAACUCAAAGGAGACUGCCAGUGAUAAACUGGAGGAAGGUGGGGAUGACGUCAAGUCAUCAUGGCCCUUACGACCAGGGCUACACACGUGCUACAAUGGCAUAUACAAAGAGAAGCGACCUCGCGAGAGCAAGCGGACCUCAUAAAGUAUGUCGUAGUCCGGAUUGGAGUCUGCAACUCGACUCCAUGAAGUCGGAAUCGCUAGUAAUCGUAGAUCAGAAUGCUACGGUGAAUACGUUCCCGGGCCUUGUACACACCGCCCGUCACACCAUGGGAGUGGGUUGCAAAAGAAGUAGGUAGCUUAACCUUCGGGAGGGCGCUUACCACUUUGUGAUUCAUGACUGGGGUGAAGUCGUAACAAGGUAACCGUAGGGGAACCUGCGGUUGGAUCACCUCCUUA